UGCAGGUCCUGUCCGGAGUCGUCCGUUUGCAUCCCGGGAGAACAAACCUCACAGCACCACGUGACCGGGUCAAAACAUCGAGGGAAUGGAUCGACGAGGUUGGAGGACAGAAAGUAUGCUGGAACCAUCGAGACCCAUCAGGAUCUGCAGCAUGGAAUGUCAGUGACUGGAGAAACAAAAGAAGUCCCUUGCGUCUCCGUAUUGGUUUCCCAUUGCAUCAUCAGUUUCUUGUGUCCGACCAAUCAGCUCUUUCCCUGCCCUUGGUUGACCUGAACUUAUCUGUUUAUGGAUUUUGUUGGUUAUAUUUGUUCAAAGUUCUGACCUACCCUAGUCAGAGGGUUGAUUGUAACAGUGAAUAAUGUAUAAAGUUGCCUCUGGACUUCA